GACGAACGCUGGCGGCGCGCUUAAUACAUGCAAGUCGAACGAGAAGCCAGAGCUUGCUCUGGUGGAAAGUGGCGAACGGGUGAGUAACACGUGAGAAACCUGCCCCAAAGAUUGGGAUAAGCCUUGGAAACGAGGUCUAAUACCAAAUACCUUCCUUUUAACACAUGUUAAAAAGAGAAAUGCUCCGGCGCUUUGGGAUGGUCUCGCGAUCUAUCAGCUUGUUGGUGAGGUAACCGGCUCACCAAGGCAUCGACGGAUAGCUGGUCUGAGAGGAUGUCCAGCCACAUUGGAACUGAGACACGGUCCAAAACUCCUACGGGAGGCAGCAGUAGGGAAUCUUGCACAAUG
rnacentral:rRNA from 1 species